ensembl:lncRNA
CUUCAAACCUGUGUCCAACCUUUAUCCCAAAACAGGAUGUUGUGCAGAGGCCAUGAAAACACUGAUCCAAAUAAAAAGCUUACAGCACCUAGUAUUCCCAUUCAGUCUCCCAACCAAGUACUAACCAGGCCCAACUCUGCUUUGCUUCCGAGGUCAGAUGAGAUCAGGCUUUGUCAGAGUGGUAUGGCCGUAAGCGAAAGCUGACCCCAAAUGGGGCCUAUUUAAAUAGUGUAAUCAAAAGACUGACUGAGUGACUGACUGA